rnacentral:rRNA from 1 species
GAUGAACGCUGGCGGCGUGCUUAACACAUGCAAGUCGAGCGAGUGAGUUCUUCGGAACGAUCUAGCGGCGGACGGGUGAGUAACACGUGGGCAACCUGCCUCAUAGAGGGGAAUAGCCUCCCGAAAGGGAGAUUAAUACCGCAUAAAAUUAUCGAGUGGCAUCACAGGAUAAUCAAAGGAGUAAUCCGCUAUGAGAUGGGCCCGCGGCGCAUUAGCUAGUUGGUGAGGUAACGGCUCACCAAGGGGACGAUGCGUAGCCGACCUGAGAGGGUGACCGGCCACAUUGGGACUGAGACACGGCCCAGACUCCUACGGGAGGCAGCAGUGGGGAAUAUUGCACAAUGGGGGAAACCCUGAUGCAGCAACGCCGCGUGAGUGAUGAAGGUCUUCGGAUUGUAAAGCUCUGUCUUUGGGGACGAUAAUGACGGUACCCAAGGAGGAAGCCACGGCUAACUACGUGCCAGCCGCCGCAGUAA